GGCCGAUUCGUCUAAUGGUUAGGACUCCAGGUUUUCAACCUGGCAACAGGAGUUCAAUUCUCCUAUCGGCUU
rnacentral:tRNA from 1 species